rnacentral:rRNA from 1 species
UACGGAGGGUGCAAGCGUUAAUCGGAAUUACUGGGCGUAAAGCGUGCGCAGGCGGUUUGUUAAGCGAGAUGUGAAAGCCCCGGGCUCAACCUGGGAACCGCAUUUCGAACUGGCAAACUAGAGUCUUGUAGAGGGGGGUAGAAUUCCAGGUGUAGCGGUGAAAUGCGUAGAGAUCUGGAGGAAUACCGGUGGCGAAGGCAGCCCCCUGGGCCUGUACUGACGCUCAUGCACGAAAGCGUGGGGAGCAAACAGG